rnacentral:rRNA from 1 species
GUUAGCGGCGGACGGGUGAGUAACACGUGGGCAACCUGCCCUAUAGAUUGGGAUAACUCCGGGAAACCGGGGCUAAUACCGAAUAAUCUCUUUUGCCUCAUGGUGCAAAACUGAAAGGCGGUUUCGGCUGUCACUUUUGGAUGGACCCGCGUCGCAUUAGCUAGUUGGUGAGGUAACGGCUCACCAAGGCGACGAUGCGUAGCCGACCUGAGAGGGUGAUCGGCCACACUGGGACUGAGACACGGCCCAGACUCCUACGGGAGGCAGCAGUAGGGAAUCUUCCACAAUGGACGAAAGUCUGAUGGAGCAACGCCGCGUGAGUGAUGAAGGUUUUCGGAUCGUAAAACUCUGUUGUUAGGGAAGAACAAGUGCUAUAUGAACUGGCUGUACCCUGGCCGGACCUUAUUAAAAAGCCCCCGGUAAAUUCCUGGCCACCACCCCCGUAAUACCUAAGUUGGCAGCGGUGAUCCGAAUUUAUGGGCCUAAAGCCCGCCCAAGGUGUCUUUUUAAUCUUAAGUUAAAACCCAACGGUUCACCGUGGAAGGGUCUUUGAAACUGGG